GACGAAGGAUGCAAGCGUUAUCCGGAUUCAUUGGGUUUAAAGGGUGCGUAGGUGGCCUUAUAAGUCAGUGGUGAAAUCUCUGGGCUUAACCCAGAAAUUGCCAUUGAUACUGUAGGGCUUGAGUAUAGUUGCCGUUGGCGGAAUAUGACAUGUAGUGGUGAAAUACAUAGAGAUGUCAUAGAACACCGAUUGCGAAGGCAGCUGACGAAACUAUAACUGACACUGAGGCUCGAAAGUGCGGGGAUCAAACAGG
rnacentral:rRNA from 1 species